UGCCGUAUGGUCUAAUGGUUAGGGCAGCCGGCCACGGGCCGGAUGACCCAGGUUCGAGUCCUGGUGCGGUAG
rfam:Glossina fuscipes fuscipes unplaced genomic scaffold Scaffold7, whole genome shotgun sequence.